AAUGUUGAAGAACUGGCCAGCUCGUCUGGUCCGUUCAUUUUUCCGCCAUCGUUUUUUUUUGUUGGUUGUUUUGGUGGACGGGACAGUGAAAGAGGCGUGCUCGCGCAUCCGGUCGUCUGUGUGUCUCUUUGUUUUGUGCUUGCAUGAGCGAUUCGCGUGCUCUUUUUGCUGUUGUUGUCGCGUCGCGUGAACACGCCCACACUCACACGCACGAGAAGGCUCUAGAAAGGCUCUCGUCAGCAUUAUCUGUGUCGUAGCGCUGCGCUUCCCGCGUUCGAGCACAGACCGCGAGCACACGGGACUACGCGCUGCAUUCGCGCUCAUCUCCGUCACCUUCGAUGGUCAGGUGGCUGCCAUCCGCUAUCGCGUCUCAAAUUGCAUGCAUCUCCCUUUCAUUUUUUUUUGUUUCUUGUCUCAUUGUGCUUCCAGCCCCAGACUUCACGACUGCGUUAUCGCAGAGUGUAGACCUCCAUUCUCCUUCCGCCUGCACUGACGAACGCGCACCCUAUACAUUCGUACACAAGAGGGAUCACCAUCACCCGAGGGGGAGGGGACACGUGCCGAACUCAGAGACCGCCCUUUCAAGGGCACAAGGAGAGAGCCAGGGAACGGUGAUACUCUCCCCUGCGCCGCCCCUUACGCCCUCGCCUUUGCGUUCUCGAUUUCGUGCAAGCGUCUUCUCGAGCGCAGCUCUCUCCCGCUGCAGCCCCAUCGCCCUCGUGAAAGCAACUGAGAGUACAAGCCGCACACCAACAUCCGUCUUCGUCAAGAUGUCUGCCUUAUCCGAGCGACUCGUAAUGCAGCUGCUUCGCAUUCGCAACCGCGAACUAGAGCUAGAGACAAAGCAGCAGGAGCUGGACAGCAAGCUGAGGCAGGAGGAGGAUCUCCGCAAGGAGCUCGAGGUGGAGCAGGAGAAGCUGGCAAAGUUGCGGAGUGUACAAGAGACUCUCGAGAAGAUGAACGAAGGGCUGGAGGCGAAGUACAAGGCGGUGAAAGAGGACGACGAGCUGCAGCGAAAGCAGAUCUCGGAGGAGCUGAAGAAACGCAUCGCCGAGGUGGAUGAAGUGUCGAGAGAGUUGGCAGAGCGUGAGCAGCGUGCGCAGUCGCGAAAGGAACUCCUUUUGAAGCAGCAGGAAAUCUACGAUCAGCACUCGAACUCCGGCAAGGAGAAGUUCGACGAGCUCGUGGCGAAGCGCGCGAGCGAGAUUGAGGCGCUCACCAAGAAAAAGGACGAUAACAUUCGCCGCACCCCGGAGCUCCGAAAACAGCUAGAGACGGAGACAGAACAGCUGACCGCCGCGAAGGCGCAGCAGAUGGAGCUCCAGGCCAAGGUGAACGAAUUCCUCAACCGCUUCUCGAUUAUCCAAUCACAGUUGAACGAGGCCAAGAGGGUGUACGAGUCUGCCUCGACGGAUAAGGACCGCAGCACGCGCAUGCUUAAGGCACUGGAGAGCGACCUUGAAAUGCUUCGGCGUCGCGCCGCGACGAGUAAAGCAGAGCGUGACAAGGAGCUCGCCAAGGUCACUGCGCUGACGGAGAGGAUGGAAGCGGUACGAAGUCAAAUCAACACCUUUGAAAACAUCACAAAGAUGCUGACCAUGUCCGACGAUGGCGAUGCCGCGGCUGGGGCGACACAGCCGAGACAGUGAUGAGGAGGUUCUUCUGCUGUGUGUUGGGGUGCUGCAGAAAUGGAGCCAGUGGCAGCUCGCGUGAUGCAUGUACUCGCUGGCUAUCGUCGACAGGUCACAAAUUCGAGUGAUUUGGCCGCUGCAACGGGUUGCCUCUUUCUAUACGGCGCUGCCUUUUGGUCUUUUCUACGCAUCUCGCGCUGAAGUAGCGACGGUUUUUCCUGCCACCACGGAAGAGGAAAAGCGCUGCUCUUUGUGCACAUGCUCGUCUCUUCUCUCUCUGGGCGCAUGCCGUCUGCUGGUGUGCAUCGGCAGUCGAGGUGUCAUGUCUCGGUGAGACAGCAAGAUCAAUCCCUUGGUCAUGAAGUUCUCUUUACGCUGCCAUGCUUGCGUCGUGG
rnacentral:misc_RNA from 1 species